rnacentral:rRNA from 1 species
UACGUAGGGGGCAAGCGUUGUUCGGAUUCAUUGGGCGUAAAGGGUGCGUAGGCGGCGCGGUAAGUCGGGUGUGAAAUCUCGGGGCUUAACUCCGAAACUGCAUUCGAUACUGCCGUGCUUGAGGACUGGAGAGGAGACUGGAAUUUACGGUGUAGCGGUGAAAUGCGUAGAUAUCGUAAGGAAGACCAGUGGCGAAGGCGGGUCUCUGGACAGUUCCUGACACUGAGGCACGAAGGCCAGGGGAGCAAACGGG